UCUAGCACAGAGAGCAGCAGGGGAGCAGCUGGACGACCAGACGUCAGACCAGAAAAAAGUCAUUUUAAGGGCAACCAACAAUUAACAUGGAGAAAGGCAAAUAUUUUGAUGAAAAUGGUGAUUUAAAACAGGAUAUGGACGGAUCAUAAAAAGAAGCGCCUCCUCAGACUCUCUGAAUUCGUCUUCAAGCAGCAGCAGUGUUUCCCUGACCGGAGCACAGGAUGGGAUGAUAUCGGGAGCGCCACACACCCCUUUCCAGCGUCCUCAUGACCCAAUUGCUGUUCCAAUCCAUCUACUGACUUCACAGGAAGAGUCACCAGAGACACGAAUGUCACUGCCAAGAAUCAAAGAACACAAACAAUUACCCACAAUACUUCCGGUCACCCAAAAUGGCUUCCACCCAACUCUGAAAUCCAUCAAUGAUGUCACUUACGGCUCUCCAAAGAUGACGUCACUUCCAGCUCUCUCAUAUGACAUCACUUCUGGUUCCCGAAGUAAUGUUACUUCUGGCCAUCCAAAAUGGUGUCACUUCUGGCCAUCCAGGAUGAUGUCACUUCUGACCCUCAAUGAUGACAUAAUUUCAGAUUCAUGCAUUUGAUGUCAUUUCCUGCCACCAUUUUCUAUAACAACUCCCUGUAUUCAUUACUCCAUGGUCAAUUGCUCUUGUUUUUGAUAAUUUUUCGCUCUUUUUUUCACUUUGUCUGAUGGACAUUAUACAGGGACAUUCCCCAACUUUUCUUUGUGAUUCCUAGAGUCGUUAUUUUCAUUACAAUUGUAAAAUGAAUACUUAACUAGAAGUAGUACAUGGUGCAAAAAUGCUUAGAUAUCCCUCUCUGAACUUGAAUAAAAGGAGAUAAAAAGGACCUGCUUGCUAACUUAACCCUAUAUAGUCAAUCUUAAGGAUGCACCCCAGUACUGAAAAAAGAAAUAAACAUUCUGGCAAACCAAAAUAAUGAGCAUAAAAAUACUGUUAUAUUAUUAAAAAGUAAUGUGCAAAAUUAACAAACAUUGUAAAAUAUAUGAUGAGAAAUAAUAAUGUUUAUACAAUGUGCUGUGGCAUUAAUUGAAAAUUAGACAUAGUAUGAAAAUUCGUUAUCAGGAAUGAUCACCACAGUAAACAGUUCAGCUCAUACAAAUGUGUUAAGCACUAGAAAUAAACUGUAUCUGGCUGUGGCAAGAUGGGUUGAAUUUUUCCCAUCUCCCUUCUUAUUUCUAAACACAUUUCUGCUAGUAUAUAGUGGGCAAAAACCUGUGCUGGAUCUCUUACGUUAUUCAUUCUAAAGGCAAGAAACUGAUAAAUUAAUAAAAACUGGUACAGACCAUAAUGACAUAUCUCAGCAAUUGAACACUUGAAAUAAUUGUACAUUAGUGAAAGUUGGUUUUUAAACCAUGGAACACUGCCAUACAUUACAAAUUAAAAAAUGAAAACAAUGUGAAAAGUGAGAUGACUUCCAUGAUAAUAUGGUGGAGGAAAUAAUUAUUUGAUCCCCUGCAGAAUUUGUAAAUUUGCCCCUGCUCAAGAAGGCACGU